GCUUUUGUUAUAGUUUCACUGAAACAAAUAUUUAAAUAUCAGAAUUUUUUAAGAAUUCAUAGAUUUCUCCAUUUUUGUAAGAAUUUUUAGAGACUAUUUUUAUUUAUUUUCUAUUUUUAGAUUAAAAAAUCAUGUGAUUCUGUCACUGUGUCACAAGCACAAAAGUUACCAAAAUGACAGAGAGUGAAAAGAAGCCACUGUUAGGGUCUUCUGACGAAGAAGAAGAGAAACUUACAGGAUGUGGAAAAACACUUUGCUGCAAUCCGUUCAGAUUUUUACACAGAUAUCUGAUUUUGAUUAUCAUGUGUUUCUUAAGCUUUGGUUUGUAUAUAUUUUUAUAUUGUGUUACUGUGUAACUUGUAAGUGUUUUGAAGUACAAUGCUCACAUAUUAUGUUUUUUUUCUAUUUCUUGCUCAGAUGCUUACAGCAAGUUAACAAUGGAAAAUAGUGGCAUAUCCAGACAUUUGCCAGAGGGGGGCGAAGAAGUUUGUAUGCCCCUCUUAACUUGCACUUUUUUCAUAAGACUAAGAUUGCAUACACCUUAUCGCUAAUCCCGGCUGACCCGGCCGCUUGAACUUUUGACGCAUACAACAAUCACUUUUCCAUUGUGGCGUCAGAUAUUUUGUAUUGUGACGUCAAAAUUUUACGGGAACCUGUGUGAUAUCCAGUAAUGGCGGACAAAUAGCGAUAAGGUGUAUUAACUUUGCCAUUACCCCUAUAUUUCAUGCGACAAUUUGUUACUCAUAAAGAUAUUUAAUUAUUCGCUCAUAUUAACAUAAUAGUGAAUAUGCCACGGAGGACCAGUACAUUGUAAAAACGUCACUAUGUCAUUUUGAAAAUCAAAUACUAGUAACACAUUGCUAAGGCUGAGGAUGACAAGUAUAACAUGUAACACCUUCAAAGCUACAAAGGAUAUAGCAAGGAUGUAUUGAUUCCUAUUUCACAAUUCCAUCCAACAGAAGGUAAUACUUUCCUACACUUACAUGACUUACAUGAUGAAAAAAAGUUCCACAGCUAGGAUUUUUACAUACAAAAACAUGUUUAACCCUACUGCCCAGCCCAUUAUAAUUAAUAAUAUUGCUGAAUAAUGAUCCCAACUUAGUUAUCUCUAGAUAAAUAAAAGUCUAAGGUACGGACCAUUUGAUUGUCGGGGAGGUCAGAUAUUUUAAGGAAGAGAAAUUCUGGACCUGUUUUUGCUUUUAAAAAAAUCUAGCUGUACCUGGGUUGAAAACAAUAAUCGUGCCUACUUAUUUGUUAUUUAGAAAAAAACAUUUCCAACAAAAUUAUUGAGCAUUAACUGUAUAAAAAAUAAGUACUCGAAUUUUUUUUUUUUUUUUUUUUUUGGGGGGGGGGGGGGGGAGGUGUCAAUGUCAAAACUCUUGUUGAUAUUUGAAUAACUAUUCUUGGGUUUCUUAAUGUUUUUAUAGAGUUUAGACUAAAGAGAGGGUAGAAAACAGAAUGUCUGUUUUGUUGAACUGGUAUACUGAGUACAUUUUUUCAAGGAAUGACUGCAACCUGCCUGCUGGUUGUUGCCUUUAGGUCUCCAUUUCUCGACUGUCCUUCACAACUUUAUUGUCAUUUCAGGCUCAUUCAUAGCCUUUCGUUGAUUUGGAACCACUGACUUUCCUUGUUGAGUGAAACAUUUCAACCAUACAUUUGGAUAGAAAUUGGUUUUUUUUUUUUCUUAUCAUGUCAUUUUUUUGUAAAUUUCAUUGAAUGGCUGUAUAUUUUGUUUAGAUUCUUUAUGAUUACAAGAUUUAUAAAACCAUCUUUAUAGAUACAUUGUAGGUAGAAUGAAGCUCUAAAACACUAUCAAUAUAUGUGUGCAAUGUAAUUGUGCUAACAUUGCUGUUUGAAAUUGCAGAGAUAUUCUUUUAAUUUCUUUUUAGGCAGCUACUUUUGCUAUGACAACCCAGCUGCCUUGCAAGACACCAUGAUAAAAGAUCUGAAGAUAUCUGAAAGUGCUUUUAUGGGAUUUUAUUCCUGGUACUCAUGGCCAAAUGUAAUACUUUGUUUCUUUGGAGGUUUCUUAAUUGACAAAACGUUUGGAGUACGACUUGGGGCAAUUAUUUUCAGUCUGUUUGUUACAGCUGGUCAGGUAAAUACUGGUUGUUCAUGAUAUCUAUAGGGAAAUAAAGCAUUGUCAUAAAUACCUGUGUUGAUGUUGCAUUUUUAUAAAAGAACAUUUAACAAAUGAUUGCAUUUUUUUUUUUUAGAUAGUUUUUAAAAUUGUCAAUAUUUCUAUUGUUUUACUGUUUAUAUAUAAUUCUUUUGUAGAAAUUCCAAUAGGGAACAUAUUCUGUAGUAAUUUUUAAGCCAUUCAUAAGAGGUUUUGAGCACUGGCCUUCUUCUGUUUCUUUCUUGUCUAAAUGAUAGGAAAAAGUGACUUGUCUACCAUCACUGAUGGAUAAUUAUAUAAAGAAACUGAAGAAGGCCAGAAACUUCUUUAUUACAAUGAUAGAAAAAUGACAGUACAUGCAAAAUAUGUUUAUAAAGAAAAGAAAAUAUAUAUCCCUGUACAUUAUAGUUUAUGUAUUUUGAUAUGGGUGUUGCAUCACUUACACUGGUUUUCUUUUUAUAGUAAAAUUUAAAAGAAGUAAAAUCUGACUAAAUUGUGUGGCUAUAUAUUAAUCACUUUUUAGUACUUGUCACACACAUGAUUCAUUCAACUUGAAAGUUUAAGUGAUCUGGUUUAAUUGAAGAUGUUUGUGAUCUAACACAGGACUAAUCAUAUAUUUUGAAUAGGAUUGUACACAAGCAAUUGAAAAAAAAUGUUUUUAACAAGAAAAAUAAAUUGAUAUUCUUGAUACAUACAUGUAUUUUUGUUUUAAAUUAAAUUGCAAUACAAUUAUUAUAUUUUUGUGUUUUAGGUUGUGUUUGCAUUAGGGGCAUUAAUUAAUAAAGUGUGGUUGAUGGAUGUCGGAAGAUUUAUUUUUGGGUAUGUGUAUUUUUUGUGUCACCUUGACAAAUCAAAAUAGCGAUACUAAAUGGAGAGAAAGCCAAUUUUUUUUUUUAUGUGAUAGUGAUGCUACACAGUGAUUGUACAGAGGCGAGGCAUAUCUCUGUUUUAACCGUUAUUAACAUUUAUAUUUGAUGAUAAAUCAUGACUAAUUAAUUAAUAACCAUUUUAGACUUUAAUGCUAUUAUGAAAGAUUAGAUGAAAUGCAAGCAAGUGACCUUCACAUUUUACACCUUGCCAAGAAAGUGACAAUUUGCGGAUUAUAGAUAUAGAUUAUGGUCUGCAAAUUGUCCAAAAAUAUUAUUAUAAGGACCAUAAGAGCUAUGGUCUCGCAACCUCCACAGUCUCAGAUGUUAAGAUACACCAGAAAUCUUACUCUUUAAUUGAAUUUGAAGGUAACCUAUUGUGGAGCUAAAUCUCUUCCCCAUCUGAUAUUCCAAAUCCAGUAAAAAUAUGAUUGCCCUUAUUUAUAGUCAAACUUCAUUAUUUAAAGAAGUUGUCGCUAGAUGUUUUAAGCAAUCAACUAAUGUGGUAUUGAUUGAUUUACAAUUGGUGAAUAAGUAGUGACAGAUAUGAUGAAUUCCUUAGCCUCUGAAGAUCACUUGAGAGAAUAUAUCAACAAUGUAUCUAGCACAUUUAUUAUAUAGAAACUUGGAGUAUCCAUUAAUUAGGAUAAAAUUUAUUAAUUUUGCUUCAAAAAGUUAAAAAAUAGUUUAAAGGGAAUGUAUAAGCACAUUAAAAUAUUAAGUACAAAUUUGGUUAUAGAAUUGGUGGUGAAUCAUUAGCUGUUGCACAAAAUACAUAUGCAGUGAAAUGGUUUCAAGGGAGAGAACUUAACAUGGUGUUUGGAUUACAACUUAGUUUUUCUCGUGUGGUAGGUAUAUUUUUUUCAAUAUUCAAACUGAGACAUAUUCAGAGAAAAAUUUUGAUAACAUUUAAGUUAUUUAGUAUUUUACUAGUUACUGAUUUCUGAUCAUAGAUAUCCUGUCCUUUAGAUUGAUUGAACUCAUUGGCAUGAAGUAUCAUGCUAUGUCGAGAGCAUCAUGCUGAUAGAUUGACUUAGUAUUUUAUUGAUAACUUUUACAGACAGUCUGGGAUGUAAUUUUUAAUCGAAAUAAAUGUGUAAGCCUUCUUGGACAGCAGCUAAUCUUCAAGAUCAAGGUAUAGCAUUUGAAGGAACAUUUUUUUUAAAUUUUGUAUCUUGCUGAUAAAUGGAGUAACUUUGCUGGAUUAUGCUAACAUUGUCCUCCCCAUGGCAUUGAAAGCAGAGUGGUACUGUGGUGCUAUAUUAUUUACCAUGGUGUUAUGUUGGAUAAUUUUAUAAUAGAAUAUAUAGGGGCCAUGGUGCUAUAUUUGGAAAACCAGUACUAUGUUAAUGUCCAUGGUGCUACUUGAAAAAAAUCUUGUGGAGAACACAGGCUUAUUUAUCUCACUUGCUUUUAUGCCACUCUAUAUACAUGAUAUAAGUAUAUAUGUAAUGAAAAAAGCAAAUUAUAUUAAGAACAAUGGAGUAACUUUAGACAAAAUUACACUUUUAAACUGACUUCACAUUCCUUAUCACAAAAACCAAAUGCCACAAAAAACAGUACAUAACAAAACUGAUAUUACAAAUCAAUUAAGACCCAAAACAAUUUUUGAAUUAAUGGUGCUUCUGAAUUUUUGAUAAAUUUUCAGGGCAGUACAGUGAAUAUGAACAUCAUGCAGCCCAUUUAUAAGUUUGUCAGCAACAGUGGACAUAAAGGAUAUGAAUGUUUAGGCAUUGUUUUAUUUAUAGGUAUGUAUAAUUAUUGUAUAGAAUUUAUUAUAUGUACAUAUAUAUUUUAUAUGCAAAUAAUUUAGGAAUGAAAUGAAGAGGUUCACAAAAACAUGCAAAAUAAAUUAAAUACACAAUGUAUAUAAAGAUAAGGAGAUGUGGUAUGAUUGCACAUGAGACAACUAUUCACUAGAGACCAGCUGAUACAAAUGUCGGCAACGAUGGGUCACCUUAAGGCCUUGAACAAUGAGUAAGGUAUGUUCUGUAUAUAAUCAACUAUAAAAGUCCCCAAAGUGACAAAAUAUGAAAAAGUUCUAACAAGAAAACCAACUGCCUGAUAUAUGACAAAACAAACAAUAAAAAAUAUGACAGACAAACAAUGACAACCACUAAAUAACUGGCUCAUGCCUUGGGAUUACCAUGACAUAACUUAGUCCUGAAUGUAACUAACAUAAAGAUAGAGAUCAAUUCAGCAUUCUAUAUAUUUUUACACUUAUCUUUUCAGGUGGAAUAAUUUGUAUCUUAUCACUCAUAUGUGCAUUAGCUUUAGGAUAUUUUGACAAAAGAGCAGACAGAAUAUUACAAAGAAAACAGCUUACAUCAGGUAAGUAAGAUUUAAAAAGAUAUUUCUGUAAAAAUAUUUUGUCCUGAAGGAAGGUUAGAAAACCUGAUAUUCCAAACCCAUCUUUUAAUUUAUGGUAAUAUAAUACAAAAAGCAAACAAUGUUAAGGUAGUUAUUGUAAAUAAUUGUGUUCAGUAUUAUUGAGGAUUCAUAUCAGUUCAUUCAUUUUUAAAGUUUUUUUUCUUCAUUGAAAUUUUGUAUUUUGAACACUAUAAAAUUUUAUAGAGAGCAAUUUUAAAGAGCUUUGAAUGCAAUAUACUGUGGAUUCAUUAUUAUUUGUUGGAUAACAAUUUUCUUAAGUUUCAUGGGUACAGGUGAACCAGGAAUUCAAAUGUUCAACAAUUACAAUCUUUCUAUAGGCCUUGUAUACAGAGAUUGGGAAAACCACAAAAUUAAAUAUCCAUGAAAAAUGCCAGUUUUCCUCAAUCCACGAAAAUUGAAACCUAAGAAAAUAAAUGACUCCACAGUAGUAACUUUGUAAUACCAUAUAUUGACAUCUUUAGUUUUCUGUCUCUCUCAUGUUUACCCUAUUUCUCCUGUUAUUUAGUUUAGGCAGGUAUAUAGUAAAUAUGUCUCAAUUUUUGGACAAACAAUUGUUGUAAUUAAUACUGGAUUAUUAUUUUUAUUUACAGAAGAAACAAUAAGAAUAACAGAUGUAAAAGAUUUUCCUGCUACUAUGUGGUUGUUAUGUAUUAUAUGUGUCAUGUACUAUGUAGCAGUAUUUCCAUUCAUAGGCUUGGGUUUGUAAGUAUUACAAUACCUUUCCUUAUAUGAAGGUGAAUUUUGAGGAUUUGUUUGCACAUCUGGUUAAUGAGACUGAUAAGUUAUUGCCAUUACUUGAUGUUUAUAGUCAUCAUUGUCCAUCUUGAAGAUAUAAUAAUUGAUACAUUGAUGGACAUUUAAGAAAUUAUGAAUAUAUUAACAGAAACUGUAAGCAGCAUAAAUGAUCAGUAAUUCAUGAUGGACAGAAAUAUCAAAAUGACUGAAAUCAUUUCUUGACUUCUGAACAGUUUUUAUGCGUCAAUGCUCUUAGAUGAUGGUUUUAAACCAAUUCUUUUGUAAACACAUAUUAUUAUGAAAACUGUAGACAACAAAAAUAAAAUAAAUCUCAAAUAUCAUACAAGUGCCAUGUUAGUGAUCCAGGCUCUAAGUAGCCUCUAGUUCAUGAUUUUAGGAUAGUUCAGUGUUUAACUUAUAUGUGCUAUUUACUCAUGUUGUGUUUUAUCAUGGUUAUGCUACAUUUAAGAUUUUAUUUUCUACAGUCCAAAUUCAUCCAAAGGAAAUUUAUUUUCAAAUUUAUUAAAGGGAGACAAUUCUGGUUUUGUCAAAAAGACUGAAUUUAUUGUUUUACCUUUGUCCAUAUUUGGGUUGUUUUUUUGGAGGAUGUGUCUUUUUUACACUUCAAUUACUAUUAAACACAUAUUUUUAUGGGUUGUUAAAAUAUUUUUCAUUGAAUUGUAUGAGUUUUUCACCAUUCUAUAUUUAUGACUAACACAAAAAAAAGAAAAACCGAAAAAUCUCAAAAUAAAAAAUGAAAAACAAUUCUCAACUUGAUAUAAGUAUUCUUCAUUUGAAAAAUAUUAUAUGUAUUUUUCAGAGUAUUUUUUGAAAUGAAAUGGGAUUUUGAUCCUAGUCUAGCAAAUAAUGUGAACAGGUAUGUAACGUAAAGUCUGUUGUAAAUUUAUGUUUAUUGCUUAACUUUACUCUUAUGAACAUCAAAUAUUUUUAUGAAAUGCCUUCACAAGUUAGUUAUUGUCUCUUCUAUGAUGAAUUUUUACUGAAUGCAAAGCAUUCAAAUCUUACUCCUGUGAUGAAAACCUUUUGAAUUAAUUGUAUAAAGUUUUGCAUCUCAGACUAGAAAAUCUAGAUAAUCCAUAUCUGAAAUCCAGAGGCUCUAUCUCCUUUAACUACAGUAAAUUUUCUAAUACUAUUAGUAAUAAAUCUAUAUAACUGUGUUUGCUCUAUUUCAGUUUAGUAUACAUCAUAUCUGCUGUAGCUUCACCAGUGUUUGGAUUUCUGAUAGAUAAAACUGGGAGAAAUGUAUUCUGGGUAAUUCUUGGUACUACAGUAACCAUUGGUUGUCAUGCUUUAUUAGCAUUCACAUUUGUUAACCCAUAUGUUGCUAUGGUAAGUUUUUAUGCCCCACCUACGAUAGUAGAGGGGCAUUAUGUUUUCUGGUCUGUGCCUCCGUUCGUCUGUCCGUCCCUCUGUGCCUCCCUUCGUCCGUCCGCUUCAGGUUAAAGUUUUUGGUCAAGGUAGUUUUUGAAGAAGUUGAAGUCCAAUCAACUUGAAACUUGGUACACUUGUUCCCCGUGAUAUGAUCUUUCUAAUUUUAAUGCCAAAUUAUAGUUUUGACCCCAAUUUCAUGGUCCACUGAACAUAGAAAAUGAUAGUGCAAAGUUCAGGUUAAAGUUUUUGGUCAAGGUAGUUUUUGAUGAAGUUAAAGUUACAUCAACUUGAAACUUAGUACACAUGUUCCCUAGGAUAUGAUCUUUCUUAUUUUAAAUCCAAAUUAAAGUUUUGACCCCAAUUUCACGGUCCACUGAACAUAGAAAAUGAUAGUGCGAGUGAGGCAUUCGUGUACUAUGGACACAUUCUUGUUUUUAAUCAUUUACAAAAAUGGAUGGAUAAAAAUUGUUCAGAAUUAUUUCUUUCAAUGAGGAUGAAAAACAUCAGAAACUAAGCUUAUAUUAUAUGAUAUUUUUUUAAUAUAUUUGUUUAAAAAAAGAAUAUUUGAAAUGCAUGAAUUAGAUGAACAUAAAAUCAACAAUUUGUAAAAUACUAUAUAGUAACCUGAGCAACCACAGUUAUCGAUUAUAAUGAUAGUACAAGUUGAAGAAUCCAUAAAGAAUGAUGUCAUAUAAAAGAGUGGUCAAAGAUACAAAUGGGACAUUCAAACUCAUAAGUUGUAAAUAAACUGAACACCAUGGCCAAAAAACAAAAAAACCUGAAAGAAAUACAUUAGUUUACAAAACAAAACACUAAAGGCUGAACAAAAUCAACCCCAACAAAAAUCUCAGAUUCUCCAGUAGGGUGAACAAAUCCUACUACAUAUGUGGCACCAGUCUUAUUGCUGCAGUAAGUUCAAACCUGGAGAUAAGUCUAAUUCUGUAGGCCCCUUUUAGUUAUAUUUCUGCUCUCAAACUUUAAAUAAUGACUUGUUUUAUAUUUUCUUCACAGAUUACAAUGGGAUUUUCUUAUUCUGUCUUAGCCAGUGCUUUAUGGCCAAUAGCAGCACAGAUAGUGCCUAACAAUCAACUAGGAACAGCUUAUGGAAUGUAAGAUCAUUUUCAUGUCGUUAAUUGGUCUCAAUUUGUCAUAUACUAGGUGUUCCAGGGUGAUUGAAUACUAGUUGUCAUAGUAAAACAAUUCAAUUGUCAGGAUUUUUUGUUUGUGGCAAAGUUUACUGCUACAUUCCUAUUUUUGUCAUUAUUUGAUUUAUUGCCCUUUUUAAAUUAUUACAAGGCAGUUCAUAUGAUUGUGAUAAUUUUCCCACAGUUCAGUUAUGAUUUGAACAUUGAUUGAUUGAUUUGUUUUUAAUUUUAGUUUUAAGUUUAUGGAUUGUGACUGCAAAUCUUGUAACUUUCAGACAUUUGUGAUGUUAAAUUAUUGAAUGUGAACUUGAUGUUUUUUUGUAAUUUGUAAAUUUAUUGAAUAUAUGUAAAACUAAUAUCCCUGUUAAUUUUCAUUUCAGUUGAGAAAUGUCUUGAUAAAAGGAAAUUAUUAACUGAAAUUAACAUAAAAAAAAGUGAUGGAUUUUAGAAUAAGAACUAAUAAGUUAUGUUUAAUUUUGAAUGUGACACAUCUUCUGAUUGGCUGACGUCAUUUUGUUUAUCAUAUCAUAGACACAAUUUUGUCAUGUGACCAUGACGUCAUCUAAGUUUUUUCAUGAAUUACGCCAGUUUAAAAUGGAAUUUAGUAUUAAAUUAUAAGAAAUAACUGUAAUAUUUUGUCAGUCUAUUCAAAAUAACAUAAAAAAUGUGGUGCACAUAGUUAAAUAACCUGCUACGAGAGUUAUUCAGUGUGCAACACAUUUUUUAUGUUAUUUCUUCAUAGACAGAAAAAUAUUACACCUCAUUCCUUAAAUAAUAGCUAGCGAUGUGAAUGACAUCAGUUUCAUAUUUUUUAUAUUUCCCUACAGGGUAUUCAGCAUUUAAUGUCAAAACAAUUACACAAUUUUUUUGGUUCAAAUAGUUUUGGGUUAGGUACAAAAUGUUUGAUUAAUGUAAGAAAAUGAUUUAUUUAUAUUAUAGAAUGCAAGCUAUACAGAAUUUAGGAUUAGCAGUAGUAGCUAUUAUAGCUGGUGCCAUAGUAGAUUCUAAAGGAUAUCUAGUGUUAGAAGUCUUCUUUCUUGUCUGUCUCUGUGGUAAGUUUGUACCUAGCAGUAGUGGCUAUUAUAGCUGGUGCCAUAGUAGAUUCUAAAGGAUAUCUAGUGUUAGAAGUCUUCUUUCUUGUCUGUCUCUGUGGUAAGUUUGUACGGAGCAGUAGUGGCUAUUAUAGCUGGUGCCAUAGUAGAUUCUAAAGGAUAUCUAGUGUUAGAAGUCUUCUUUCUUGUCUCUGUGGUAAGUUUGUACGGAGCAGUAGUGGCUAUUAUAGCUGGUGCCAUAGUAGAUUCUAAAGGAUAUCUAGUGUUAGAAGUCUUCUUUCUUGUCUGUCUCUGUGGUAAGUUUGUACGGAGCAGUAGUGGCUAUUAUAGCUGGUGCCAUAGUAGAUUCUAAAGGAUAUCUAGUGUUAGAAGUCUUCUUUCUUGUCUGUCUCUGUGGUAAGUUUGUACGCAGCAGUAGUGGCUAUUAUAGCUGGUGCCAUAGUAGAUUCUAAAGGAUAUCUAGUGUUAGAAGUCUUCUUUCUUGUCUGUCUCUGUGGUAAGUUUGUACCUAGCAGUAGUGGCUAUUAUAGCUGGUGCCAUAGUAGAUUCUAAAGGAUAUCUUCUAGUGUUAGAAGUCUUCUUUCUUGUCUGUCUCUGUGGUAAGUUUGUACCUAGCAGUAGUGGCUAUUAUAGCUGGUGCCAUAGUAGAUUCUAAAGGAUAUCUAGUGUUAGAAGUCUUCUUUCUUGUCUGUCUCGGUGGUAAGUUUGUACGGAGCAGUAGUGGCUAUUAUAGCUGGUGCCAUAGUAGAUUCUAAAGGAUAUCUAGUGUUAGAAGUCUUCUUUCUUGUCUGUCUCUGUGGUAAGUUUGUACCUAGCAGUAGUGGCUAUUAUAGCUGGUGCAAUAUUAAAUUCUAAAGGAUAUCUAGUGUUAGAAGUCUUCUUUCUUGUCUGUCUCUGUGGUAAGUUUGUACUAAGCAGUAGUGGCUAUUAUAGCUGGUGCAAUAGAAGAUUCUAAAGGAUAUCUAGUGUUAGAAGUCUUCUUUCUCAUUUGUCUCUGUGAUAAGUUUGUACCUAGCAGUAGUGGCUAUUAUAGCUGGUGCCAUAGUAGAUUCUAAAGGAUAUCUAGUGUUAGAAGUCUUCUUGUCUGUCUCUGUGGUAAGUUUUGUACGGAGCAGUAGUGGCUAUUAUAGCUGGUGCCAUAGUAGAUUCUAAAGGAUAUCUAGUGUUAGAAGUCUUCUUUCUUGUUGUCUCUGUGGUAAGUUUGUACGGAGCAGUAGUGGCUAUUAUAGCUGGUGCCAUAGUAGAUUCUAAAGGAUAUCUAGUGUUAGAAGUCUUCUUUCUUGUCUGUCUCUGUGGUAAGUUUGUACGGAGCAGUAGUGGCUAUUAUAGCUGGUGCCAUAGUAGAUUCUAAAGGAUAUCUAGUGUUAGAAGUCUUCUUUCUUGUCUGUCUCUGUGGUAAGUUUGUACGGAGCAGUAGUGGCUAUUAUAGCUGGUGCCAUAGUAGAUUCUAAAGGAUAUCUAGUGUUAGAAGUCUUCUUUCUUGUCUGUCUCUGUGGUAAGUUUGUACGGAGCAGUAGUGGCUAUUAUAGCUGGUGCCACAGUAGAUUCUAAAGGAUAUUCUAGUGUUAGAAGUCUUCUUUCUUGUCUGUCUCUGUGGUAAGUUUGUACCUAGCAGUAGUGGCUAUUAUAGCUGGUGCAAUAGUAGAUUCUAAAGGAUAUCUAGUGUUAGAAGUCUUCUUUCUUGUCUGUCUCUGUGGUAAGUUUGUACGCAGCAGUAGUGGCUAUUAUAGCUGGUGCCAUAGUAGAUUCUAAAGGAUAUCUAGUGUUAGAAGUCUUCUUUCUUGUCUGUCUCUGUGGUAAGUUUGUACCUAGCAGUAGUGGCUAUUAUAGCUGGUGCCAUAGUAGAUUCUAAAGGAUAUCUAGUGUUAGAAGUCUUCUUUCUUGUCUGUCUCUGUGGUAAGUUUGUACCUAGCAGUAGUGGCUAUUAUAGCUGGUGCCAUAGUAGAUUCUAAAGGAUAUCUAGUGUUAGAAAUCUUCUUUCUUGUCUGUCUCUGUGGUAAGUUUGUACGGAGCAGUAGUGGCUAUUAUAGCUGGUGCCAUAGUAGAUUCUAAAGGAUAUCUAGUGUUAGAAGUCUUCUUUCUUGUCUGUCUCUGUGGUAAGUUUGUACCUAGCAGUAGUGGCUAUUAUAGCUGGUGCAAUAUUAAAUUCUAAAGGAUAUCUAGUGUUAGAAGUCUUCUUUCUUGUCUGUCUCUGUGGUAAGUUUGUACUAAGCAGUAGUGGCUAUUAUAGCUGGUGCAAUAGAAGAUUCUAAAGGAUAUCUAGUGUUAGAAGUCUUCUUUCUCGUUUGUCUCUGUGAUAAGUUUGUACCUAGCAGUAGUGGCUAUUAUAGCUGGUGCCAUAGUAGAUUCUAAAGGAUAUCUAGUGUUAGAAGUCUUCUUUCUCGUUUGUCUCUGUGAUAAGUUUGUACUUAGCAGUAGUGGCUAUUAUAGCUGUUGCAAUAGUAGAUUCUAAAGGAUAUCUAGUGUUAGAACUCUUCUUUCUUGUCUGUCUCUGUCGUAAGUUUGUACUUAGCAGUAGUGGCUAUUAUAGCUGGUGUCAUAGUAGAUUCUACAGGAUAUCUAGUGUUAGAACUCUUCUUUCUUGUCUGUCUCUGGGGUAAGUCUUUUUUUGAGUAACUCAUAGUAUUUUGAAAUAUAUGCUUUAGAUUUUCAAACUUUUUCCAUAUAUUGCAAAACUGGAAAAUCUGGCAAAAUAGUAUCACAUUGAGAGUAAGUCAUUACAGGUAUAAUUACCAAUUAGACAAUAUUCCACCAGAGACCUAAUGACAUAAAAGUUAACAACUAUAGGUCACUGUUUGGCCUUUAAAGGUAAGCAAAACUCAUAUGCACAGUCAGCUUGUAAAAGCCCUGAAGCAACAAAUGUAAAACAAGUCAAACAAGAAAACCAACUGCCUAAUCUGUGUACAAAACAUUUGACAAAAAACAAAUAUGGUAUACAGUAACAGACGACAACAACUGAAUCACAGGCUCCCAACUUGAAAGAGACCAAAACAAAAGUGUGGUGGGGUUAAAUAUGUUUGCAGGCUUUCAACCCUCCCCUUAUCAUUGACAGUAGUGUAAUAGCACAACAUAUGAACAAACUAUGAAAUCAGUUGAAAAUGGCUAAACUCAUCAGAUAGAUUCAAAGCAGAAAAACAAAUAACAGAAAAAUAGACCAGAAGUGGCAGAGUAUUUAUAUACCUCCAUUAAAAAAAGACCAUAAGCACAGAUCUGAGAUUACUCACAGUUACUGACAGCUAGUUCAAAGCAAAUAACAACUUACAAAACAAUCAUUUUAUUUAAGACUAAAAUAUCAAUCAGUACACAUCCAACAUCCAAUGGAUUUAGUAAAAAGAAGUUAUAAACACUCAGAGAAAAACCUGACCUUUUGCAAUGCUAAAUUAUAAGUAAAUAGAAUUAAAAAAAACUAUGUGUAUAUUGGCAGUUUAGGUCAAAUAUAGAUAUAAGAAGAUGUGGUAUGAGUGGCAUUUAGACAACUCUCCAUCCAAGUCACAUUUUGUAAAAAUAAACCAUUUUAGGUCAAAGUGCAGCCUUCAACAUGGAGCUCUGGCUCUCAUCUAACAGCAAGCUAUGAAGGGCCAAAUAUGCCAAUUUACACUUGUCAUGGCAUCCCUGUGACAUCACAGCUAACAGUUCUGUUCAAAAGUGUCAAGUUCAUAUUAAAAGAACUAACAUAGUUGUGGAAUGUUUGGAUAUUUUUUUCAAUUUCAGGGUUAAAAAUAUUGCUUUUAUAAUAUCUUCUUCUUUUCUUUAUUUUCAGUUGCUUUGAUAGCUUCUGUAUUGUUAUAUCUCUUAGAUGCUUCAAAAGGUAGGAAACAUUUUUUGAUUUACAAAAUCUGCAGUUCAACUUGUUUUUUUUAAGAUUUUUGGUUUAAGUAAAACAGGAAAAACCUCAAUGAUGUUUAGUUACACUCUACACACUCACAUUCUACAACUUUUCUACUGCCAUAUAUUUUAAGAAUCUGACAGAAAAGAAGAAUUUUAAGUCCAGCCAUUUUUUUUUCUCAUGUCAACCGAUUAUUUUAAUAAAAUUUACAGUUGACAUUCAUAUUUAUUUGUCAACACACGUAAUAAAUUAAAGGUGAUAUUGUGUAUACGACAAUAAGACAGAGACUCAUUUAUAGAAAUAAAACAAGAGCCAUUUAGAGGUGAACUGUCUUCGACAAUGUACAAUUGUCUAUACAAGGUGUCAAUAAUUGGUGAAUACAUUUAUUAGAGACUAUCAAAAUUCCUAUGAAUUGAAUUUACUUAAGGACAACAAAAAAAUUAAGAUAUCACUUCCAUACAACCACACACACUGUUCGGCCAAGACUUAUUUAAAAGAGAUGGAUGAUGUCUUUUCUUUUAAAACAAGAAUUAGAGAAAAAUAGAAAAAGACAUGGAAAUGUGAGAAUGAAAAUGUAGGCUGUUUUCUGAAUUUUGCAAAUUAAGAAUAUGUCAGAAAACAAGAAUACAUCUGAAAAUUAAUAACAUUUUAAACAUUAAUUUUUCGUUAUAGACUGCACUCAGCUUAGGAAAGUGCUGAAUUUGAACAUGCCUAGAAUAUUUAUUCUGACUAGUUUAGACACAUGCAAUAACAUUUUAAUCUUUUGACAGGUGGAAAAUUAAAUAUGAGUGCUAAAUUACGUCAAAUAAUGAAGGAAGAAGCAGACAGAGAAAAGGAAAAAGAAGAGUAAGUAAUUUUAUAUGGAAAAGAAAUUAUUUUACACUGAGCGUUAAAUAUGUUCAAAUAUGUUCAAAUUUAAUGCCUACCCAUAUUAAAAUGAGCAUAGAAAAUGACAUAAAGGAAUUAUUUCAAUUCCAAUAGGACACAUACUAUAUUUUUAUAGGUUGAAACGUACAGAAAUACCUCAAAAAUAUUUGGCUGCUCCCAUUUCCCCUCAUGAAUUUUUGAAGGUUUCAUUUUCACAUUUAAUAAAUUUAAAAACUAAUAGUAGGGAAAAUAUAUGAUGUUUCGAUAAUAAUUUUUUUAAAAUAGACUUUUAUAUAAGCAGCUACAAUAUGUACUAUUUACUAAAAAAAAAAGGAAAAUAACAAGUAAGUUUGUGCACAUGUAUCAAAUAUAUUUUGUGCUAAUUAGAACACAAUGAAAUAAGUAUGUCAUAUAAGAAUCAACAAUAUGCCAGUAUCUUUAUUAUAUAUAAGCUUUAAGAUUUUCAUUCAACACUGUCUGCCUUCAAGAAAAAUGGUGUUAAUCCUGAAGAAGUUUUAUAUUUCUGAAAUUUCUAUAAAAGUAUGAUAUAUUGAUACCUUCAAUUGCCCCAUAUGAUUUCGGUCUAAGCAACUGUUCGUAAAUCCAUCUGUCCUGCUUCAGGUUAAAGUUUUUGGUCAAGGUAGAUUUUGAUGAAGUUGAAGUGAAAUUAACUUGAAACUUAGUACACAUAUUCCCUAUGAUAAGAUAUUUCUAAUUUUAUUGCCAAGUUAAGAGUUUUGUCCCCAAUUUCAUGGUCCACUGAACAUAGGCAACUAUAUUGUGAUUUGGGCAUCAGUAUACUAUGAACACAUUCUUGUAGCAGAAAGCUCGACAUAGGGAUAUUGAUCCGGUGGCGGCUACGGUGGCAGCGGCGGUGUUAGCUCACUUCUUAAAAGCUAUAUAUUUUAGAAGGUGGAAGACCUGGAUGCUUCAUGUUUUGUAUAUAGAUGCCUCAUGUUACGAAGUUUCUGUCAGUCACAUGUCCAUUGUCUUUGAUCUCAUUUUCAUGGUUCAGUGACCACUUGAAAAAAAAGUUCAAAUUUUUUGUAAUGUUGAAUUCUCUCUUACUCUAAGUAAUAGGAUAACUAUAUUUGGUAUGUGCGUACCUUGCAAGGUCCUCAUGCCCGUCAGACAGUUUUCACUUGACCUCGACCUCAUUUCAUGGAUCAGUGAACCAAGGUUAAGUUUUCGGUGUAUGGAAGGACUGUUAGGUGUACAUGUCCAGCUGGCAGGUGUCAUCUGACCUUGACCUCAUUUUCAUGGUUCAGUGGUUAUAGUUAAGUUUUUGUGUUUUGGUCUGUUUUUCUCAUACUUUAUGCAAUAGGUUUUACUAUAUUUGUUGUAUGAAUGAUUGUUAAGGUGUACAUGUCUAGCUGGCAGAUGUCAUCUGACCUUGACCUCAUUUUCAUGGUUCAGUGUUCAAAGUUAAGUUUUUGAGUUUUGGUCUUUUUAUCUAAUACUAUAUGUCAUAGGUCAACUAUAUUUGGUGUAUGGAAAUAUUUUAUGAUUUAUAUGUCAGUCGUGCAGGUUUUAUUUGACCUUAACCUGGUUUUCACGGUUCAUUGCUCAGUGUUAAGUUUUUGUGUUUUGGUCUAUUUUUCUUAAACUAUAAGCAAUAUGUCAACUAUAUUUGUUGUAUGGAAGCAUUGUUAGCUGUACAUGCCUGCCUGGCAUGGUUCAUCUGACCUUGACCUCAUUUUCAUGGUUCAUUGAUCAAUGUUUAGUUUUCAUGGUUAAUGUUAAGUUUAUGUGACAGUCGUAAUAAAGCUUUAUAUUUAGGAGUAUCAACAUAAUAUCAAUGAUAAGAAAAGAAGGUGAGACAUUUCAGUGUGUGCACUCUUGUUUUUCUAUAAAGAUGUGACUUAUCUUAAACAACAUAAUGGUAAAAACACACACUUUUUUUCUUUUCAGGAAGAAGCCUUUAUAAAGAAAAGAAUUGUUGAAGUAAAGAAACUAUCAAAACCAAUGUGCCAAAAACCAUUUUGAAAUUACAUUACAAUAUUAAAGAACAAGGCUGUAUCUUUAAGUUAUCUCUCUUGUGUGUGCAAUAUAAGAUAACAUGACAUUAUUUAAAAUUUGUAGAAAACCUUGAUUUUUCUUGAAGUUAUUUUGAUACUGGUAAUGAUAUAUGUCAAGAAGGUCUGAAUAGGUGCUGUAAUUAUUUACAGAUAUUUAAAGGUGCUACACAAGGGUAUAUGUAAUAGUAGAGAAAAGUGUUGUUCAAAUUUACUAAAGCAAUGCCCAGUUUUAUCCUAAAACAUCAAAACAAUUUUGUCUAAAUUUUCAGUUACAUAAAGAAAAAAUAGUAUAUAGAUUUCUGUAACACACUCUUCAACUCAUUAUUGCAAAAUUCUUAAAAUAAAGUAAUCAGACGUAUUAAAACAGGAUUUUUGACAAUAUUGACUGUUUUAAAACUUGGAUACAUUAUUCCUGGUUCAUAGAAUCAAUUUACACUGUGCUACACAAUUCUGAUUUGAGAAUACACUUCAUUAACAUUCCUUGUCAACAUGUUGUGAUAGUUAUAUACUGCAUCAUUUACCAUAAGACCUUUAUCAUAAGCAGGUUGUCAGCUUUCAUUACAGUUGUUGAUGUGUGAAAGAUUGUAAAAACUUAACCCUUUAAAUGUUUAACUUCAAAAUUAUUAAGUACAUAGAUUAAGUAAUUUUUAAUAAAGAAGACGAUGUAGGAAAUAUUUAUAAUGAGGUUAUAUAUAGCCUUUUUUCUGAACCAGCUAAUAAAAAGAGCUUUUUAUGCAAUGUAUGUCAUUUUAAAAACUUAAUACAAAUUGUAAAACAAAAUAAAUUUUCAAUUGCAGUGUCAUUGUUUUUCCCCUGACAAUUAACAAACUGGUUUGGGCAUUUUUUCCAAUUCUACUGGUGUUACUUUGACCUAAGUUUACAGGUUACAAUCUCAUAAUCAUUUAACAUUAAAUCAAUUUCGUAAUUUCUUUAAACAAAUUUUCUUAGGUAUUAAAUCUCUGAAGUAGUGUAUGUACAUUCAUUUAAUUUGUUUAAUCUGAAGAAUAAACAAAUUUUGUUCUUUAAUAAAUUUGAUAAAAAAUGAUUCUUAUUCUGAUUCAGUUAAUUAAUUGUAAGAAUUAAGAUACACAUUUAAAAUAUAUUUUUAUAAAAAAAAAAAAAAAUAUGCAUACUCAUUAUUAAAAUCCCUAUGCAAUCUGUCAUCUGUCAAUAGUGAUAUCUGGUUUUAAUUAUGCAAUCACACAAUAAUUAAUACCUAAAAUAUGAAAAAAAACAUUUGGUCAUUAGCGUACAUUUUCUUAAAAAUAUUGUAUAUUGUGUUUGAAGAAGCAUUUUUGUCUAGCCUUGCACUAGUCAUAGAGGUGAGACUUGCACAUGAUGUUUGCACUGGUGUUGAUUUGUUAAAACUUGAGAUUAGGUCAGUUGUAGAGGAACCACUAAUAGUUAUCGCUGAUAUUUUGGUUGUAUUAGCAUUUGCACAUUUCAUUUCCAUGGAGAUUAUUUAUCCCUGCCUUGUCAGUUAUGGUCUAUUGACUUUAAAAGUUUAAAAGUACAAUUUUUAGACAAGUUUGUUAUUAAGUUAUUUUAAGGGAAACCAUUAAUGGCAAGUCAAAAAUAUUUAGUAUGUAGUUGUAUAAGCAUCGAAUAUCUAUGGAGAUUAUAUUACCCAGCCCCCUCAGUCACUCUGUUGACUUUGAAAUUUUUGCACAGUUUACAUGUAAAAGUUUGAUUAUGUAAGUUUAGAGGAAACCACUGAUGAUUAAUCAAUGAUAUUUUGUAAUACAGUUGUAUUAUCAUUGGCAUAUCUCAUGCACCCCACAUCAAGGUUCAUAAAUUUUGAAAGUUUUGCAUAGUUUCAUGUUAAAGUGUUGCCACUUUAGUUGAAUUAUUUUAUAUUUAACUAAUAAAAUUACAUGAUGGUGAGAAAUAUAUCUGUGUCAACAGUGUAUUUUAUUUUGUAUAUUUGUAAUUCAAACAUUGUAAUAAAUUUUAAAUUAUUUUGUGAUUUUCUAUGAUUUAAUAUUUGUGUGAUACUCAGUCAGUUGUUUUUCCGAUCAUAUUAAUUCAAUACCUUUAGGAACUAUGAUAAAUUUUGUGUCAUGCACAUUUAUUUCAGAACAUACCAUAUUCAACUUGUUAAAUUGGGAGUGGGAAGGAAUGUCAGUAAAAUUGAGAAUGGAACUGGGGAAUAAAGUGUUGUACAGGGAGCGCUGUGACAUAAUAUUGCAAAAUGUUACUCUUCAAUGAAAUUAAAAGAAAGCAAUUUCUGAUUUAUUGUCUGGAUGACAAUGCAUAUAUAUACAUAGCCCACCUUUAUUGAAGCUGAGUAUGAUAAAAUUAGUCUGUUUUAUGGAGUAUCUAAGAUAAAAAAAAAAACAACAUUUUUCAUCUUGAUAAAUAUUUGUUUACCUGUAUAUUCAUUUCUAUCUUAUUGUGACUUAAUAUGUAAAUUUGAGAAUGGAAAUGGAGAAUGUCUCAAAAAGACAACAACCCAACCUAAGAGCAGAAAACAGAAGAAGGCCUCCAAUGAGUCUUUACCGUAGCGAGAAAANNNNNNNNNNNNNNNNNNNNNNNNNNNNNNNNNNNNNNNNNNNNNNNNNNNNNNNNNNNNNNNNNNNNNNNNNNNNNNNNNNNNNNNNNNNNNNNNNNNNNNNNNNNNNNNNNNNNNNNNNNNNNNNNNNNNNNNNNNNNNNNNNNNNNNNNNNNNNNNNNNNNNNNNNNNNNNNNNNNNNNNNNNNNNNNNNNNNNNNNNNNNNNNNNNNNNNNNNNNNNNNNNNNNNNNNNNNNNNNNNNNNNNNNNNNNNNNNNNNNNNNNNNNNNNNNNNNNNNNNNNNNNNNNNNNNNNNNNNNNNNNNNNNNNNNNNNNNNNNNNNNNNNNNNNNNNNNNNNNNNNNNNNNNNNNNNNNNNNNNNNNNNNNNNNNNNNNNNNNNNNNNNNNNNNNNNNNNNNNNNNNNNNNNNNNNNNNNNNNNNNNNNNNNNNNNNNNNNNNNNNNNNNNNNNNNNNNNNNNNNNNNNNNNNNNNNNNNNNNNNNNNNNNNNNNNNNNNNNNNNNNNNNNNNNNNNNNNNNNNNNNNNNNNNNNNNNNNNNNNNNNNNNNNNNNNNNNNNNNNNNNNNNNNNNNNNNNNNNNNNNNNNNNNNNNNNNNNNNNNNNNNNNNNNNNNNNNNNNNNNNNNNNNNNNNNNNNNNNNNNNNNNNNNNNNNNNNNNNNNNNNNNNNNNNNNNNNNNNNNNNNNNNNNNNNNNNNNNNNNNNNNNNNNNNNNNNNNNNNNNNNNNNNNNNNNNNNNNNNNNNNNNNNNNNNNNNNNNNNNNNNNNNNNNNNNNNNNNNNNNNNNNNNNNNNNNNNNNNNNNNNNNNNNNNNNNNNNNNNNNNNNNNNNNNNNNNNNNNNNNNNNNNNNNNNNNNNNNNNNNNNNNNNNNNNNNNNNNNNNNNNNNNNNNNNNNNNNNNNNNNNNNNNNNNNNNNNNNNNNNNNNNNNNNNNNNNNNNNNNNNNNNNNNNNNNNNNNNNNNNNNNNNNNNNNNNNNNNNNNNNNNNNNNNNNNNNNNNNNNUCAAAAUUAUUAAGUACAUAGAUUAAGUAAUUUUUAAUAAAGAAGACAAAAAUGUAGGAAAUAUUUAUAAUGAGGUUAUAAAUAGCCUUUUUUCUGAACCAGCUAAUAACAAGAAUGUGUCCUCAGUAUACGAAUGCCCCACUCGCA
rnacentral:lncRNA from 1 species